AUUGAACGCUGGCGGCAGGCCUAACACAUGCAAGUCGAACGGUAGCACAGAGAGCUUGCUCUCGGGUGACGAGUGGCGGACGGGUGAGUAACGUCUGGGAAACUGCCCGAUGGAGGGGGAUAACUACUGGAAACGGUAGCUAAUACCGCAUAACGUCGCAAGACCAAAGUGGGGGACCUUCGGGCCUCACACCAUCGGAUGUGCCCAGAUGGGAUUAGCUAGUAGGUGGGGUAAUGGCUCACCUAGGCGACGAUCCCUAGCUGGUCUGAGAGGAGGACCAGCCACACUGGAAGUGAGACACGGUCCAGACUCCUACGGGAUGCAGCAGUGGGGAAUAUUGCACAAUGGGCGCAAGCCUGAUGCAGCCAUGCCGCGUGUAUGAAGAAGGCCUUCGGGUUGUAAAGUACUUUCAGCGGGGAGGAAGGCGGUGAAGUUAAUAACUUCACCGAUUGACGUUACCCGCAGAAGAAGCACCGGCUAACUCCGUGCCAGCAGCCGCAGUAA
rnacentral:rRNA from 1 species